rnacentral:rRNA from 1 species
CCUACGGGCGGCUGCAGUGAGGAAUAUUGGUCAAUGGACGAGAGUCUGAACCAGCCAAGUAGCGUGAAGGAUGACUGCCCUAUGGGUUGUAAACUUCUUUUAUAUGGGAAUAAAACGUUCCACGUGUGGGAUUUUGUAUGUACCAUAUGAAUAAGGAUCGGCUAACUCCGUGCCAGCAGCCGCGGUAAUACGGAGGAUCCGAGCGUUAUCCGGAUUUAUUGGGUUUAAAGGGAGCGUAGGUGGAUUGUUAAGUCAGUUGUGAAAGUUUGCUGCUCAACCGUAAAAUUGCAGUUGAAGCUGGCAGUCUUGAGUACAGUAGAGGUGUGCGGAAUUCGUGGUGUAGCGGUGAAAUGCUUAGAUAUCACGAAGAACUCCGAUUGCGAAGGCAGUUCACUGGACUGCAACUGACACUGAGGCUCGAAAGUGUGGGUAUCAAACAGGAUUAGAUACCCGGGUAGUC